rnacentral:lncRNA from 1 species
CCAAGGACCAGCACAUACCAUAUCAAAGCUACAACCAACCACAGAAUAUCUAUCCAAUGAAUAUCACUCCACCACUCUCUGGGGUUAAGAAAUUAUCCUCCCAUAACUCCGGAAGUGCACUCCUCCAGUCUCGACUUACACAACCCAUUCCCCACCAACCAAACUGCCCCCCUCAUAACUCUCUUGGGCCCCGAUCCUUGAAACCUCUAUCAACGGCUACACUCAUGCAACCCCAAAACCAUUGCCCACGACCUUCCGUGCAACACCUGCAGCACCCCACC